rnacentral:rRNA from 1 species
AACGAACGCUGGCGGCAUGCCUAACACAUGCAAGUCGAACGAGACCUUCGGGUCUAGUGGCGCCCGGGGGCGUAACGCGUGGGAACCUGCCCUUAGGUUCGGCAUAACUCCCCGAAAGGGGUGCUAAUACCGGAUAAUGUCUUCGGACCAAAGAUUUAUCGCCUUUGGAUGGGCCCGCGUUGGAUUAGCUAGUUGGUAGGGUAAAAGCCUACCAAGGCGACGAUCCAUAGCUGGUCUGAGAGGCUGAUCAGCCACACUGGGACUGGGACACGGCCCAGACUCCUACGGGAGGCAGCAGUGGGGAAUGUUGGACAAUGGGCGAAAGCCUGAUCCAGCAAUGCCGCGUGAGUGAUGAAGGCCUUAGGGUUGUAAAGCUCUUUUACCCGGGAUGAUAAUGACAGUACCGGGAGAAUAAGCUCCGGCUAACUCCGUG